rnacentral:rRNA from 1 species
UUUGUAGGUGGCUUGCUAAGUCAGACGUGAAAUCCCUCAGCUUAACUGGGGAACUGCGUCUGAGACUGGCAAGCUUGAGUGCAGGAGAGGAACGCGGAAUUCCAGGUGUAGCGGUGAAAUGCGUAGAUAUCUGGAGGAACACCGGUGGCGAAGGCGGCGUUCUGGACUGUAACUGACACUGAUGAACGAAAGCCAGGGGAGCAAC